rnacentral:rRNA from 1 species
GAUCCUAGCUCAGGAUGAACGCUAGCUACAGGCUUAACACAUGCAAGUCGCGGGGGCGAGCAUGAAGUCAGCUUGCUGACUUUGAUGGCGACCGGCGCACGGGUGAGUAACGCGUAUCCAACCUGCCUGUUACCACGGCACAGCCCGUCGAAAGGCGGAUUAAUGCUGUAUGUGGUCCUUUGCGGGCAUCUAAUUAGGACUAAAGGUUCAGCGGUAACGGAUGGGGAUGCGUCCGA